AGAGUGUGAUCCUGGCUCAGAUUGAACGCUGGCGGCAUGCCUAACACAUGCAAGUCGAACGAGGGUAGCAAUACCUUAGUGGCGGACGGGUGAGGAAUACGUAGGAAUCUGCCCUUAAGUGGGGGAUAGCCCGGGGAAACCCGGAUUAAUACCGCAUGAUCUGAAAAGAGCAAAGUGGGGGAUCGCAAGACCUCACGCUUUUGGAAGAAGCCUACGUUCGGAUCAGGCUAGGUUGGUGAGGGUAAUGGCCUCACCAAGGGCUACGAAUCCGUAAACUGGGUCUGAGAGGAUGAUCAGUCACACCGGAACUGAGACACGGUCCGGACUCCUACGGGAGGCGCAGUGGGGAAUAUGGGACAAUGGGCGCAAGCNUGAUCCAGCAAUGCCGCGUGUGUGAAGACGGCCUUCGGGGUGUUAAAGCACUUUAUGUUGGGGAAGGAAA
rnacentral:rRNA from 1 species